CAGCAGCCACGGGAAUACGAAGGGGGCUAGCGUUGUUCGGAAUUACUGGGCGUAAAGCGCACGUAGGCGGAUAUUUAAGUCAGGGGUGAAAUCCCGCAGCUCAACUGCGGAACUGCCUUUGAUACUGGGUAUCUUGAGUAUGGAAGAGGUUAGUGGAAUUGCGAGUGUAGAGGUGAAAUUCGUAGAUAUUCGCAGGAACACCAGUGGCGAAGGCGGCUAACUGGUCCAUAACUGACGCUGAGGUGCGAAAGCGUGGGGAGCAAACAGGAUUAGAUACCCCCGUAGUCCCUGUCUCUUAUAC
rnacentral:rRNA from 1 species